GAAGAAAAUAGGAGAAGAAGAAGCUUUAUGGUACCCAACCUAAAUUGGCAGAAUUAAGGAAGCUUUUAGUUCCCCUGCUAAUUCACAGAUAUAUAGAAAGCUGCAUUUAUCAACCAUCUUUGAGAAUUUGCUUCCAGCAGUUAACGGAUGGACUUUUGUGGGAACAUACGUGCGUGUCUGUGGAGGAUUUAAACUACAUGAUGGGUGAGGAUCUCACUGAUCCGGGAGGAGCUCAGAGUAGAGCUGCUGCUCCUUCACAUAAAAAAAGAGCCAGUUGAGGUGGAUUGGGCAUCUAGUUCGAAUGCCUCCUGGAUGCUGCCCAGCCAGAAGGAGGGAUUAUGUCUCGCCUGGGAACGCCUCGGCCCAACCCUGGAACUGGAAGAGAUGUCAGGGCUUCCCUACUGGCACUGCUAUCCGGAUCCGGAAAUGCUGAAGAACAAGGAUGGAUGGAUGGAUGGAUUCCCAUUUUGGGCUGGUGGAUUGUCAAAAGAUUGAGAUCGCAAAAAAGCUGCUGCCUGACCAGGGUUCAGAAAAUCUGCAAAGACUCCUCCCACCCCCACCAAGGACUGUUUUCACUGCAGGACUCAAGAGGUUCCGCAGCCUCCGUAGCAGAACCUCCAGUUUCUGUAACAGCUUCUUCCCCUCAGGCCUUAAGACUCUUGAACGCAUCAUAAUGAAAUUAUCCCCUCAACUCCCCCUGAAAAGGAUUAGCUCGCUGGAAUAAAAAAGACAAUAUAACAUACAUCCAUAAGCAUGGAUGCAUGUGAAAAAAGUGCAAUGUAUUUAUCUGUACAGUAAUCUGUUUAUUUAUAUCUGCACCUUAUUGCUUUUUUUUUUAUCCUGCACUACCAAGAGCUAAUACAACAACAUUUAGUUCCUUUUUGUACUGUAAAGUUCAAAUUUGAAUGACAAUAAAAAGGAAGUCUAGUCCAAGACUAAGUCAAAGUCUAUCUUAACGACAUGACUGCAUAUUUUAGGUAUGUGCACGCGAUCCGAGCUCGAGCAAUUUUUGUUUAAUAUAUUUAGUAAUUGUGAAAAAUAUGAAUGCUUAAAAAAAACAAACACACGUUCGCAUUUCAAUGCAUUUUCUUUAUUUGCAUGACUAUUUAUAUUGUAGAUUGUCAAUGAAGGCAUCAAAACUAUGAGUGAACACAUGUGGAGUUAUGUACUUAACAAAAAAAGGUGAAAUAACUGAAAACAUGUUUUUUAUCCCGUUUUUUGUUUUUUUUUAAAUAUCCACCCGGUGCUCCGAUUACUGCUUUGCACACUCUUGGAAUCUCUCGACGCACUUCAAGCACACCUGUGAAGUGAAAACCAUUUCAAGUGACUACCUCUUGAAGUUUAUCGAGAGAAUGCCAAGAGUGUGCAAAGCAGUAAUCAGAGCAAAAGCCUGGCUAUUUUGAAGAAACGUUUUCAGUUAUUUCACCUUUUUUUGUUAAGUACAUAACUUCACAUGUGUUCAUUCAAAGUUUUGAUGCCUUCAGUGACAAUCUACAAUGUAAAUAGUCAUGAAAAUAAAGAAAAUGCAAUGAAUGAGAGAAGGUGUGUCCAAAUUUUUGCCCUGUGCUGUGUAUAAGUGUACUAUGAGCAAGUUGCAAAAAUACACAUUGAGGUUUUGUUCCGAAGUGUACUUCAACUCAAUUGUUAUCAUUUAGAUGAGUUCCAUUUCAAGUGUUUUUUUGUUGUUGUAAUUAAUAAAGUCAUGUAAAUGGUGGCACAUUUAAAAUUGUUGAACUAUCGCUGCAUGUUAAUGUAUCUGCAACACCGUCAGUGAAUUGCUGACAUGACUAAAGAUCAGUAAGAUCAGUUCUUGGUGUUAUUUUCAGUUUUUCUUUGUUCAGUCUUCUCAGUAAGUGUGAUUGCAUAACUUAAAAAGAAACAUUUUGAUUCAUAAUUGUACUUGUUAUUUGAAGUUACCUUUUGAUAUGAUGUAGUAACUUGUAUUUUGCAACAGUAGAAAUACCCUAAACAAUACUUUUUACUAUUGGGAUCAUCCCAUGAAUGCUACAUGUACAUAUGUCCAUUUUAAGACAUUCAUAGAACUGAAUCCGGAAGACAAGUUUUCACUUCCUCUUUUUACAUUUGUGCUUGUAAUGCUGUAGUUUGUAUGCUGCACUUAUUUUUUUUUUUUUCCCAUGCCACUGAGAUGCAUAACAUUUCAAUGGAAACAAUUCAUUUAAGACACAGCUAUCAAUAAAAAUGUACUGUGUUGCAUCACAUGCAAUUAUUGAUCAUUUAUGUGUCUCUAGUAAAUGGACACAUAUAUGUAUUACAUUAAGUACCGUGUAUUUUAUGAUACUUUCCAGUGCUAUUUUUUUAUACAAAUAUUUUUAAUUGAACACAUCUGUAAGAAUGUGUAUUUAGAGUACUUUUCAAUAAUAAAAUACAAUAUACAAC